UUUGUAUUGUCAUUCGAAUCUGUCAAUAAAACAUCGCUUAUUUAUUUGUAGUGGGAUGUUUUACGACAAAUUGUAUACCAAAUGAAAGUAUAUAAAACGAAGCUUGGACGGAACAGUAUUACCAAUUGUUUUAGUUUUUAGUCUACAACCAGUGGACGUUUUCCGUAUUUGCAUUUGAACGCAAUGGCUGAUAAAAACAAACAAAACAAAGUCAAGGCGCUUUAUAAAAAAUGGAGUGAAGCGGAGCAACAAAAUUUAAUAGAUUUCCAAACAGCAACCAGCACCAGUGUUUAUUACUGUAUUUAGCUAAGUAUAAAUUAGAGGGCAUUCAAUAAAAGGCCGUUCGUAACAAAGUGCGUAGUUUGCGGCAAGCAUAUGUACUUAAAGCAAGGGGAACGGAAAACUCUAAUGGUGCUGCAACUUUCAAAGACGGGGAAACUAUCCGAGGACUGAUUUUACAACAAUGCCUAUUGUAUAAGAGGGGACGUGUUUACUUAUAGAGAGUUUGGAACGGUUGAAGGCAUCAUCGCUACAACCGACAGUGUAAUGGACGCCACCGUUUGACGUAAUUGGUGAUGACGAAAUUGCUUGACGAAUUAUUAUUAUUAUUAUCAUUUUGCAUGCAUUUGCCUCUUCUAAUGGGUACUCCAAACGUCUGAUUGCUGCUUUUAACUGAUUAAUCUCUUUGUUUAAUUCUGAGAUUUCCAAUAACAUGUUGGAUUACAGAAUACCAAAGCAUGCACAGAAGUAUGUAAAACAAAUGAUGGUAAUUAAUACACUGCACAUUUUUUAAUGUGCACUUACUCAGUUUGUGUU